CCUACGGGUGGCAGCAGUGAGGAAUAUUGGUCAAUGGGCGCGAGCCUGAACCAGCCAAGUCGCGUGAGGGAAGACGGUCCUAUGGAUUGUAAACCUCUUUUGUCGGGGAGCAAAAGACGCCACGCGUGGCGUUCCGAGAGUACCCGAAGAAAAAGCAUCGGCUAACUCCGUGCCAGCAGCCGCGGUAAUACGGAGGAGGCAAGCGUUAUCCGGAUUUAUUGGGUUUAAGGGGUGCGCAGGCGGAAGAUCAAGCCGGCGGUAAAAGUGAGAGGCUCAACCUCUGCGGGCCGGUGAAACUGGUUUUCUUGAGUGGGCGAGAGGUAUGCGGAAUGCGUGGUGUAGCGGUGAAAUGCAUAGAUAGCACGCAGAACACCGAUGGCGAAGGCAGCAUACCGGCGCCUAACUGACGCUGAGGCACGAAAGCGUGGGUAUCGAACAGGAUUAGAUACCCGAGUAGUC
rnacentral:rRNA from 1 species